CUUCCAGGGAGCCCUCCUGGCCCUGCCAGUCUCACUUACAUAGCCAUCCUCAGAACCCCUGUAGCCAAGUGUCACUGCCAUCAUAUGUGUCAUGUGGUGUGAGCACCUGUUACUAGGUCCCCACUCCUCCCCAGCCUGAGUUUCUAAGACUGAGUCCCUUCAGAAAGACCUCAUUGAAUCAGUCUUGGUGUCACAUGAAGACAUGAAUGAAUGAAAGUGUUUUCAGGGUCAAUCUUAGUUCUGAGCGAAGUGGACAUGGGAUCCAGGACAGGGAUGACAAUUCAUAAGUUCAUCUUAUAAAGCCCGAGACCCUCCCUCUGUGCUUCCUUGGGCCUGAAUCCAGCCAGAAAGCCCAUCAGGACAGAGAUGGAUCUAGAUCACGGAGUGCAGAGAUAGAUGGGUCCUGAGCAGUGAUCUGGGCUCCUGCCCACUCCUUCUCUCUGGGUCCCUCUCCCGGAGUCUGGGUGUCUCUCAGUCUCUGUCUGCAGGUCUGAGUCUGGCCCUCUCAGCUUAUCUCCACCUGUAUCCUUCCUCUUUCUCUUAACCUCCUUUUCUCUUUGACCCUCUGUCUCUUUUUCUCCAGCACCCACAGGCCUGGAGAACGGCUCAUCUCUUUCAGUCCUGGACCACCAGUGCCUGUGCCUGGUCUGUGUUCUCGACAGCAACCCACCUACCAAGUUGAGCAGGGUCCAGGGGAGCCUGACCCAGAGCCCCUCACAGCCCUCAAACCCUGGAGUGCUGGAGCUGCCUCGAGUACACGUCGGAGAUGAAGGGGAAUUCACCUGCCGAGCUCAGAAUCCUCUGGGCUCCCAGACUUCUUUCUGAGCCUCUCCCUGAAGAAAAGAAGUCCCACAGGAGGAAGACAGCCAGGCCCCCAGGGAGCAUGGAGGAUGCAACUACCAUCCCUAGUUAAUCCCUCAGGUCAGUGACCUGGGUGUCUCACCAGCGAACAUCCUACCACAUGCCUCCAUCAAGAUGGCCCCAGGAUUGCUCUUCUCAGCAUGCCAAAGUUGAGCUGCCUUCUUUCCCCC
rnacentral:lncRNA from 1 species